UAACCCGCGAGCGCAGUCUCAGGGCCUCUCUCGAGACCCGAAGAACAAUUUUUGGGCGGUCUGUGAAGACCGAGAA
rnacentral:ncRNA from 1 species